rnacentral:rRNA from 1 species
GUCCACGCCGUAAACGAUGGAUGCUAGCCGUUGGUGGGUUUACUCAUCAGUGGCGCAGCUAACGCAUUAAGCAUCCCGCCUGGGGAGUACGGUCUCAAGAUUAAAACUCAAAGGAAUUGACGGGGGCCCCGCACAAGCGGUGGAGCAUGUGGUUCAAUUCGAAGCAACGCGCAGAACCUUACCAGCCCUUGACAUCCCGAUCGCGGGUACCAGAGAUGGAACCCUUCAGUUCGGCUGUAUCGGAGACAGGUGCUGCAUGGCUGUCGU